rnacentral:piRNA from 1 species
CUCUAGUUUCUUUUCUAUCUUCUCAAC